ACAAACCUGCUCAGUGACCAACACACAGAGAAGAAGCUGAUGAAUGAAACAAUGGUCCAACAUGUCUGAUCUGAUAUUUAUCUUCAGGCCACAGACUGGACUGAGGUCAGCAGCAUGUUGAGAGUCUGUGUUGACAUGAUGACGAUCCACAACAACAGGAGGACACAUUCUAAUAUUCAUAUUUCUUUAUCCAGGUUGAUGAAGUGCAGACUGUCAGAGAUCAGCUGUUCUUCUCUGGCUUCAGCUCUGAGGUCAAACCCCUCUCAUCUGAGAGAACUGGAUCUGAGUCUAAACGGCCUGCAGGACUCAGCAGUGAAGGAGCUGCUUGAUCUACAGCAGAGUCCAACCUGUCGACUGGAGACUCUGAGGUGGGAGGGGAGAGAUCCGUGGAGGUGAGUGUGAAGAGGACAGUGUGUGUGGACGGAGGCUGAGCUGUGUCCUGAGGAUCCAGAGGCUGAAGCAGCAGCAGCUUGUGUGUAGUCUCCAAUCUACACAACCCCUCAUCUGCAUGUGUUUGUGAGAUGAAGCCGGAGCACCUGGAGAAAACACGUGGAGAACAUGCAGACUCCACACAGGAAGACCCAUCUGAACCGGAUUCAAACCAGCAACCUUCCUGCACCGAUUGUUUUUAUUCACAUGAAGAAUGUGUUUAUUGAAAUGACACAACACAAGCAGAAUAUAUAAACCCUCUAUAAAGAGUCACAUACAGUGUGUUUAAGUUUGUCUUUAAUUUUCCACCUUUGUCCCUCAGUAUGUCUCCAUGUGUGUAGAACCACAUUCUGUGUAUAUGUUUGUUUAUGAUCUUAAAGUUCCUGGAUUCACGUCACAAAUUGAUUUAGUUCAACACAAAGUUCAACACAUUGUAAUCACUUUGAGUUUAAAAUCAGAGUUUUGUCUUUGACACAAAAGAUCAAAACUCUGGACUUAAAAAUGUGACGUUUUCAUUUCUGCAUCAGGUGCAGAGCGGUGGUGGCUUUUCUACUUUUGACCCACAGGUGGCGCUGCAGUAUAACAGCAGCACAUCCCAGUCAAAGCCUUUAUAUUCAGUCUAUGAGUCAAACACAUGGAUCAUUUCCUCUGUGACAAACCAGAUGUAACGAGAAGAAAAACAUCUCAGAGAGAAAAGUUCUGUUUCUACUUGUCUCUGCUUUAAUGCUCAAUAAACAUCCUUCCUCCGACUUCACUGGAA